GGUGGAGUGAUUUGUCUGGUUUAUUCCGAUAACGAGCGAGACUCUAACCUACUAAAUAGUGACGGGAUAAUUUCGUCUUGGUUACUUCUUAGAGGGAUUAGUGGUGUUUAGCCACACUAGAUUGAGCGAUAACAGGUCUGUGAUGCCCUUAGAUGUCCGGGGCUGCACGCGUGCUACACUGGAAGAAUCAGCGUGUUUUUCCUGCUCCGAAAGGAGUGGGUAACCCGCUGAAACCCCUUCGUGAUUGGGAUCGGGGCUUGAAAUUAUUCUCCGUGAACGAGGAAUUCCCAGUAAGCGCGAGUCAUAAGCUCGCGUUGAAUACGUCCCUGCCCUUUGUAC
rnacentral:rRNA from 1 species